CCUACGGGUGGCUGCAGUGGGGAAUAUUGGACAAUGGGCGAAAGCCUGAUCCAGCCAUGCCGCGUGUGUGAAGAAGGCCUUCGGGUUGUAAAGCACUAUCAGUGGGGAAGAAAGCCUUGGGGCUAAUACCCUCGAGGAAGGACAUCACCCACAGAAGAAGCACCGGCUAACUCCGUGCCAGCAGCCGCGGUAAUACGGAGGGUGCGAGCGUUAAUCGGAAUUACUGGGCGUAAAGCGCGCGUAGGCGGUCUGAUAAGCCGGUUGUGAAAGCCCCGGGCUCAACCUGGGAACGGCAUCCGGAACUGUCAGGCUAGAGUGCAGGAGAGGAAGGUAGAAUUCCCGGUGUAGCGGUGAAAUGCGUAGAGAUCGGGAGGAAUACCAGUGGCGAAGGCGGCCUUCCGGACUGACACUGACGCUGAGGUGCGAAAGCGUGGGUAGCAAACAGGAUUAGAUACCCCAGUAGUC
rnacentral:rRNA from 1 species